rnacentral:rRNA from 1 species
CCUACGGGUGGCAGCAGUGGGGAAUAUUGCACAAUGGGGGAAACCCUGAUGCAGCGACGCCGCGUGAAGGAAGAAGUAUUUCGGUAUGUAAACUUCUAUCAGCAGGGAAGAAAAUGACGUUACCUGACUACGCCGCCCCGGCUAACUACGUUCCAGCAGCCGCGGUACUACGUAGGUGGCAAGCGUUAUCCGGAUUUACUGGGUGUAACGGGAGCGUAGGCGGCGAUGUAAGUCAGAAGUGAAAGACCGGGGCUCAACUCCGGGACUGCUGUUGAAACUGUAUGGCUAGAGUGCAGGAGAGGCAAGUGGAAUUCCUAGUGUAGCGGUGAAAUGCGUAGAUAUUAGGAGGAACACCAGUGGCGAAGGCGGCUUGCUGGACUGUAAAUGACGCUGAGGCGCGAAAGCGUGGGGAGCAAACAGGAUUAGAUACCCCUGUAGUC